AGAGUUUGAUCAUGGCUCAGAUUGAACGCUGGCGGCGUGCUUAACACAUGCAAGUCGAACGAUGAUGCCAGCUUGCUGGUGGAUUAGUGGCGAACGGGUGAGUAACACGUGGGCAAUCUGCCCUGCACUCUGGGACAAGCCCUGGAAACGGGGUCUAAUACCGGAUAUGACCGUCUGCCGCAUGGUGGAUGGUGUAAAGCUCCGGCGGUGCAGGAUGAGCCCGCGGCCUAUCAGCUUGUUGGUGAGGUAGUGGCUCACCAAGGCGACGACGGGUAGCCGGCCUGAGAGGGCGACCGGCCACACUGGGACUGAGACACGGCCCAGACUCCUACGGGAGGCAGCAGUGGGGAAUAUUGCACAAUGGGCGAAAGCCUGAUGCAGCGACGCCGCGUGGGGGAUGACGGCCUUCGGGUUGUAAACCCCUUUCAGUAGGGAAGAAGCGAAAGUGACGGUACCUGCAGAAGAAGCGCCGGCUAACUACGUGCCAGCCGCCGCGGUAAUUC
rnacentral:rRNA from 1 species